rnacentral:rRNA from 1 species
GGAGUGCUUGACCUCCUGAUGGUUAGCGGCGGACGGGUGAGUAACACGUAGGUAACCUGCCCAUAAGACUGGGAUAACCCACGGAAACGUGAGCUAAUACCAGAUAGGCAUUUUCCUCGCAUGAGGGAGAUGAGAAAGGCGGAGCAAUCUGUCACUUAUGGAUGGACCUGCGGCGCAUUAGCUAGUUGGUGAGGUAACGGCUCACCAAGGCGACGAUGCGUAGCCGACCUGAGAGGGUGAUCGGCCACACUGGGACUGAGACACGGCCCAGACUCCUACGGGAGGCAGCAGUAGGGAAUCUUCCGCAAUGGACGAAAGUCUGACGGAGCAACGCCGCGUGAGUGAUGAAGGUUUUCGGAUCGUAAAGCUCUGUUGCCAGGGAAGAACGCCUAGGAGAGUAACUGCUCCUAGGGUGACGGUACCUGAGAAGAAAGCCCCGGCUAACUACGUGCCAGCAGCCGCGGUAAUACGUAGGGGGCGAGCGUUGUNCCGGAAUUAUUGGGCGUAAAGCGCGCGCAGGCGNCAAUGUAAGUUUGGGUGUUUAAAACUUAGGGCUCAACCUUGGGGUCGCAUCCAAAACUGCAUACUUUGAUUAAAAAA